GACGAAGGAGGCUAGCGUUGUUCGGAAUUACUGGGCGUAAAGCGCGUGUAGGCGGUUAUCCAAGUCGGGUGUGAAAGCCUUGAGCUCAACUCAAGAAAUGCACUCGGUACUGGGUGACUAGAGGACCGGAGAGGAUAGUGGAAUUCCCAGUGUAGUGGUGAAAUACGUAGAGAUUGGGAAGAACACCAGUGGCGAAGGCGGCUAUCUGGACGGUUUCUGACGCUAAGACGCGAAAGCGUGGGGAGCAAACAGG
rnacentral:rRNA from 1 species